rnacentral:misc_RNA from 1 species
UUUCCGUAGGUGAACCCGCGGAAGGAUCAUUAUUGUAUAACCGAGGUGCGAGGGCUGUCGCUGACCCGAAAGGUCGUGCACGCCCGAGUGCCCUCACACACAUCCAUCUCACCCCUAUGUGCACCACCGCGUGGGUCCCCCUUUGGCUUGUUCGGAGGGGGGCUUACGUUUUCACACAAACUUUGUAUGCAGUGUAGAAUGUAUUUUUUGUUUUUGCGAUCACGCAAUCAAUACAACUCUCAACAACGGAUCUCUUGGCUCUC